GUAAGGAAUAUUGGUCAAUGGACGCAAGUCUGAACCAGCCAUGCCGCGUGAAGGAUUAAGGUCCUCUGGAUUGUAAACUUCUUUUAUAUGGGACGAAAAAAGGUCUUUCUAGACCCCUUGACGGUACCAUAUGAAUAAGCACCGGCUAACUCCGUGCCAGCAGCCGCGGUAAUACGGAGGGUGCAAGCGUUAUCCGGAUUCACUGGGUUUAAAGGGUGCGUAGGCGGGCAGGUAAGUCAGUGGUGAAAGCCUGGAGCUCAACUCCAGAACUGCCAUUGAUACUAUCUGUCUUGAAUAUUGUGGAGGUAAGCGGAAUAUGUCAUGUAGCGGUGAAAUGCUUAGAUAUGACAUAGAACACCCAUUGCGAAGGCAGCUUACUACGCAUAUAUUGACGCUGAGGCACGAAAGCGUGGGGAUCAAACAGGAUUAGAAACCCGAGUAGUCC
rnacentral:rRNA from 1 species